GGUUAAGCGACUAAGCGUACACGGUGGAUGCCCUGGCAGUCAGAGGCGAUGAAGGACGUGCUAAUCUGCGAAAAGCGUCGGUAAGGUGAUAUGAACCGUUAUAACCGGCGAUGUCCGAAUGGGGAAACCCAGUGCAAUUCGUUGCACUAUCGUUAACUGAAUACAUAGGUUAACGAGGCGAACCGGGGGAACUGAAACAUCUAAGUACCCCGAGGAAAAGAAAUCAACCGAGAUUCCCCCAGUAGCGGCGAGCGAACGGGGAGCAGCCCAGAGUCUGAAUCAGCUUGUGUGUUAGUGGAACGGUCUGGAAAGUCCGACGGUACAGGGUGAUAGUCCCGUACACCAAAAUGCACAGGUUGUGAACUCGAAGAGUAGGGCGGGACACGUGGUAUCCUGUCUGAAUAUGGGGGGACCAUCCUCCAAGGCUAAAUACUCCUGACUGACCGAUAGUGAACCAGUACCGUGAGGGAAAGGCGAAAAGAACCCCGGCGAGGGGAGUGAAAAAGAACCUGAAACCGUGUACGUACAAGCAGUGGGAGCACCUUUAUGGUGUGACUGCGUACCUUUUGUAUAAUGGGUCAGCGACUUAUAUUCUGUAGCAAGGUUAACCGUAUAGGGGAGCCGCAGGGAAACCGAGUCUUAACUGGGCGUUAAGUUGCAGGGUAUAGACCCGAAACCCGGUGAUCUAGCCAUGGGCAGGUUGAAGGUUGGGUAACACUAACUGGAGGACCGAACCGACUAAUGUUGAAAAAUUAGCGGAUGACUUGUGGCUGGGGGUGAAAGGCCAAUCAAACCGGGAGAUAGCUGGUUCUCCCCGAAAGCUAUUUAGGUAGCGCCUCGUGAACUCAUCUUCGGGGGUAGAGCACUGUUUCGGCUAGGGGGUCAUCCCGACUUACCAACCCGAUGCAAACUACGAAUACCGAAGAAUGUUAUCACGGGAGACACACGGCGGGUGCUAACGUCCGUCGUGAAGAGGGAAACAACCCAGACCGCCAGCUAAGGUCCCAAAGUCAUGGUUAAGUGGGAAACGAUGUGGGAAGGCACAGACAGCCAGGAUGUUGGCUUAGAAGCAGCCAUCAUUUAAAGAAAGCGUAAUAGCUCACUGGUCGAGUCGGCCUGCGCGGAAGAUGUAACGGGGCUAAACCAUGCACCGAAGCUGCGGCAGCGACACUAUGUGUUGUUGGGUAGGGGAGCGUUCUGUAAGCCUGCGAAGGUGACCUGUGAGGGUUGCUGGAGGUAUCAGAAGUGCGAAUGCUGACAUAAGUAACGAUAAAGCGGGUGAAAAGCCCGCUCGCCGGAAGACCAAGGGUUCCUGUCCAACGUUAAUCGGGGCAGGGUGAGUCGACCCCUAAGGCGAGGCCGAAAGGCGUAGUCGAUGGGAAACAGGUUAAUAUUCCUGUACUUGGUGUUACUGCGAAGGGGGGACGGAGAAGGCUAUGUUAGCCGGGCGACGGUUGUCCCGGUUUAAGCAUGUAGGCUGGUUAUCCAGGCAAAUCCGGAUAAUCAAGGCUGAGGUGUGAUGACGAGGCACUACGGUGCUGAAGUAACAAAUGCCCUGCUUCCAGGAAAAGCCUCUAAGCAUCAGGUAACAUCAAAUCGUACCCCAAACCGACACAGGUGGUCAGGUAGAGAAUACCAAGGCGCUUGAGAGAACUCGGGUGAAGGAACUAGGCAAAAUGGUGCCGUAACUUCGGGAGAAGGCACGCUGGUGUGUAGGUGAAGCCCCUGCGGGUGGAGCUGAGACCAGUCGAAGAUACCAGCUGGCUGCAACUGUUUAUUAAAAACACAGCACUGUGCAAACACGAAAGUGGACGUAUACGGUGUGACGCCUGCCCGGUGCCGGAAGGUUAAUUGAUGGGGUUAUCCGUAAGGAGAAGCUCUUGAUCGAAGCCCCGGUAAACGGCGGCCGUAACUAUAACGGUCCUAAGGUAGCGAAAUUCCUUGUCGGGUAAGUUCCGACCUGCACGAAUGGCGUAAUGAUGGCCAGGCUGUCUCCACCCGAGACUCAGUGAAAUUGAACUCGCUGUGAAGAUGCAGUGUACCCGCGGCAAGACGGAAAGACCCCGUGAACCUUUACUAUAGCUUGACACUGAACAUUGAGCCUUGAUGUGUAGGAUAGGUGGGAGGCUUUGAAGCGUGGACGCCAGUCUGCGUGGAGCCAACCUUGAAAUACCACCCUUUAAUGUUUGAUGUUCUAACGUUGGCCCCUAAUCGGGGUUGCGGACAGUGUCUGGUGGGUAGUUUGACUGGGGCGGUCUCCUCCCAAAGCGUAACGGAGGAGCACGAAGGUUAGCUAAUCCUGGUCGGACAUCAGGAGGUUAGUGCAAUGGCAUAAGCUAGCUUGACUGCGAGCGUGACGGCGCGAGCAGGUGCGAAAGCAGGUCAUAGUGAUCCGGUGGUUCUGAAUGGAAGGGCCAUCGCUCAACGGAUAAAAGGUACUCCGGGGAUAACAGGCUGAUACCGCCCAAGAGUUCAUAUCGACGGCGGUGUUUGGCACCUCGAUGUCGGCUCAUCACAUCCUGGGGCUGAAGUAGGUCCCAAGGGUAUGGCUGUUCGCCAUUUAAAGUGGUACGCGAGCUGGGUUUAGAACGUCGUGAGACAGUUCGGUCCCUAUCUGCCGUGGGCGCUGGAGAAUUGAGGGGGGCUGCUCCUAGUACGAGAGGACCGGAGUGGACGCAUCACUGGUGUUCGGGUUGUCAUGCCAAUGGCACUGCCCGGUAGCUAAAUGCGGAAGAGAUAAGUGCUGAAAGCAUCUAAGCACGAAACUUGCCCCGAGAUGAGUUCUCCCUGAGACUUUAAGUCUCCUGAAGGAACGUUAAAGACGAUGACGUUGAUAGGCCGGGUGUGUAAGCGCAGCGAUGCGUUGAGCUAACCGGUACUAAUGAACCGUGAGGCUUAACCUU
rnacentral:rRNA from 1 species